UGAACAUUGCGCAAUAAUCUUCUGCCACACCCGGUCGACCACAGCACACUAUCGGCAGCGAGCUCAGUCACACUAGCGAAUUACCACCGGUUAGCACGUAAAACGCAAACAAAAUAUAAGCAAAAUAACUGAUUUGGGUGUUACUUUAGUAUUUUUUGUACUACUGGCCAUCAUAACCUCAACACCAGAAGGAUUUCAAAAAAUUCAAGAUAUUCUACAAUAUCUUGAAACCACUCCACCAUACGUCAAAUACAGUAUUGGAAUCUUGGUCGUGAUUGCAGUGAUAGUUGCAGCUGGUAUCCAUUGCUGUACCAACAAAUACAAAAAGAAGCAUAACAACACAAUGACGAAUAUCGUAUAAUCCAACAAUUCAACAGCGAUGGUGUGAAUAUACGAAAAACGUUUGUAUAUUAACCACACACCAAUCGCCAUCAAAUGGCAUGGGCGCAAUGGUAUUCAAGAAUCCAGUACCAGUGGCGUAGCUAGGUAACUAAACUUUCUGGUAAGGAUUUGAGGGCCCCCUGCCUUGGGGCCCCAAAACACUGCCUCGCCAACAACUCGAUAACUACGCCACUGACAACUACAUGGAAAACUUCGAUAAGAAGACGAAUUCAUUGGCCAAACUACAUGCUAGGGGUACGACUACCCUUGAAACAACGUUUCAGAAGCUCUGCAACGCAGAAGGACGGCAUAUAUUCGUAUAUGUUUGUAAUUUAAUCAAUUUGUAUUGUAAUCAUGAAAUGUUAAUGUAAAUACAUAUUCUUUAAAUUAA